CGCUGCGCUGGUGAGAACGUGCCCCGCGCGGCCUCAGGCAUCGCGUUCCCGGCGCUCUCACCUGCGCAGGUUGCAGGGUCGCCCCGAGGACACUCCGGAGAGCCCGGAAGGAGGCGGAGAUGAUGAAUGUGACCCGCCCCACACCAGUGACGUCCAGUGGAAGGCUCCGCGUGGCUCUGAGUCCCAGUCUGUUUCAGACGUGCUGCUGUCAGAGGAAGCGGGUCACCCGGGGUCUGCUGUCUUCCAUAUUGUCCUAAAGAUAAUCAUCAGGUGUUUUCUCCUCUGUGUUGAAGUCACCUUUGGCCCUAUUGCCUCUAGAUCCUUCUACAGCUCUUCUUUGUGGAGCAUUUUACUCGAUUUCUGGGCACAUGACAUGUUACUUGAGAGGCCCUGCUGGCUGACAGAAUCCUCAGGAACUAGCCCUCUCUUACCCAACAGGUGCCCUGGCCUGCGCCUGUGCCCUCGGCGUCCACCUCAUCAUGGCAGGGGGUCAUGCCUCUGUGUCUGUUGGGUACAAGGGGACUGGUCCAGGCUUUUACAUGCCUAGACAGCAAAAUGUGCAGCAAAGUGAUUCAGUUAUGCAUAUAUAUAUAUUUUUUUUUCAGAUUCUUUUCCAUUAUAGAUUAUUAAAAGAUAUAUAGUUCCCUGUGCUAUAUAGUAAAUCCUUGUUUAUCUAUUUUUAAAAACACAUUUAUUUUUUAAAAUUUAUGUGGGCUUCCCUGGUGGCGCAGUAGUUAAGAAUGCACCUGCCAAUGCAGGGGACAUGAGUUCGAGCCCUGGUCCAGAGAGAUCCCACAUGCCGAGGAGCAACUAAGCCCAUGCGCCACAACUACGGAGGCUGCUCUCUAGAGCCCACAAGCCACAAGUACUGAAGCCUGUGCGCCCAGAGCCUGUGCUCCGCAGCAAGAGAAGCCACCGCAAUGAGAAGCCCACGCACCUCAGUGAAGAGUAGCUGCCACUCGCCACAACUAGAGAAAUCACACGUGUAGCAACAAAGACCCAACACAGCCAAAAAAUAAAUAGAAAAAAAAAUAAAAUUUAUGUAUUUUUUGUGGCUUGCUGCACAGCGUGUGGGAUCUUAGUUCCCAGACCAGGGAUGGAAUCCACGCCCCCUGCAUUGGAAGGCAGAGUCUUUACCACUGGACCACCAGGGAAGGCUCUGUUUAUCUAUUUUAUAUUUGGUAAAAGAACAGUUCUUUUUCAUUGUGUGUGCAUGUGUGUUUAUCAAUU